rnacentral:rRNA from 1 species
UACGUAGGGUGCGAGCGUUGUCCGGAAUUAUUGGGCGUAAAGAGCUCGUAGGCGGUUUGUCGCGUCUGCCGUGAAAGUCCGGGGCUCAACUCCGGAUCUGCGGUGGGUACGGGCAGACUAGAGUGAUGUAGGGGAGACUGGAAUUCCUGGUGUAGCGGUGAAAUGCGCAGAUAUCAGGAGGAACACCGGUGGCGAAGGCAGGUCUCUGGGCUGUAACUGACGCUGAGGAGCGAAAGCCAGGGGAGCAAACGGG